CUUCCGAGAGCGUUAUUUGUGAACCUUUCAUGAAGCCCCCGGGGCCAGGCUCCCUGAUCCCUGGGCCCAGACCACCCUGCAGUUCCCGCGCCAGGCUGGCACGGCGCCCGCCUUUCCCACCGGCCUCCCUGGUGCCAGACUGCGGGCCUCCUUGGGCCCUAGGGCUUGAACCAGCCCGCCUGCCCCGUUGGGCCUCUCCUCUGCUCUCCCGCGGAGCCCACUCUGACCGGGAGUGUCCCGUGGUGGCCUGAGAAUACCCUCUGCCCACAGGUCCCGAGCAGCCCGGCCCACCAUGGACCCCUCUGCCCACAGGUCCCGAGCAGCCCCGCCCAACAUGGACCCAGACCCCCAGGCGGGCGUGCAGGCGUCCGGCACCCCAACAUCAUCUGUGACUGCUGCAAGAAGCACGGGCUGCGGGGGAUGCGCUGGAAGUGCCGCGUGUGCCUGGACUACGACCUCUGCACGCAGUGCUACAUGCACAACAAGCAUGAGCUCGCCCACGCCUUCGACCGCUACGAGACCGCUCACUCGCGCCCUGUCACACUGAGUCCCCGCCAGGGCCUCCCGAGGAUCCCACUAAGGGGCAUCUUCCAGGGAGCGA
rnacentral:sRNA from 1 species